rnacentral:ribozyme from 2 species
CAACAAACUCCACCAGUAGCUCUUCUAGAGUUACUGUCGGUCCCAAGCCCGGGUAAAGGAGGAGGGUUGG